rnacentral:rRNA from 1 species
ACGUAGGUGGCAAGCGUUGUCCGGAAUGAUUGGGCGUAAAGGGCGCGCAGGCGGCUGUGUAAGUCUGUCCAGAAAGUGCGGGGCUAAACCCCGUGAGAGGAUGGAAACUGGACAGCUGAGAGUGUCGGAGAGGAAAGCGGAAUUCCUAGUGUAGCGGUGAAAUGCGUAGAUAUUAGGAGGAACACCGGUGGCGAAAGCGGCUUUCUGGACGACAACUGACGCUGAGGCGCGAAAGCCAGGGGAGCAAACGG